rnacentral:lncRNA from 1 species
UUAAGCUGUGUUAGCUUCUCGUACUAAGUGUCAAAGAUCCUUGUAUUUACUGUCAAACAAUGAGAUAUAUAUUUACCUUCCUUAAGAUAUCUCAUUUGUAUAGAAAAUUGCACACAAUCAGGCUACAUGCAGGAAACUGCACAUAAUCAGGAUGAUUACCUUAGACAUAGGAAAUAGCAAAUAAUCAGGCUACAUAUUUUUCUUUCCAUAGAAUCUGGCCAUUAUGCUUGUAUAAAUACGGUGGCUGUACAUUACAAAAGAAAUGAAUAAAAUCAAAUUUUCUAUCUCUUUACAUGGUAUCAGAGCUUUGUGAUUCUUUGCUUGUGCCAUCUCCUUAUCUAACAAUUCCAGCAACCCUCUGGUCAAUAAUUCUCAUGAAGUUUCUUCGACCCUCCCUACCAUAGCUCAACUCAUUAGCGAUGUAUCUUCUCCAUAUUUCCUACACUCCUCAGAUCACCCAGGUUCCCUCCUUGUCUCCACCUUAUUGACUGUUGAAAAUUAUCACACUUGGUGUCGCUCCAUGAAGAAAGCCCUCAAUGGCAAAAAUAAACUUGGCUUUGUGGACGGUUCACUCACCAAGCCGACCAGCUCCCCUGCCGAAUCACAACUCUGGGGUAGGUGUAAUGACAUGGUGUUCUCCUGGAUUCUCAACAGCAUUGACAAAUCUCUCCACAGCAGUUUGGUUUAUUAUGACAGCCCCCGUGAUAUUUGGACAGACCUUGAAGGUCGUUUUUCUCGGAGUAACAAUCCUCAUCUCUUCCGUCUCCGACGAGAUCUCUCCACUCUCCAACAAGGUGGCUCCACCAUUACUGAAUACUAUCACCGCAUCAAGUCUCUUUGGGAUGAACUCGAAGCCUUGUCUCCUCCCCCAUCAUGUUCAUGUGGUGCACUCAAGGACCUUCAAGCCUCACAAUCCGCUGAACGUGUUUUCCAGUUUCUAACCGGUUUACAUGACUCCUUUGUUGCCCUGCGGACUCAAGUCUUGGCAAUGGACCCACUCCCCUCACUAGCGAAGGUUUACUCCAUCUUUCACCAAGAAGAAACACAGCGUCGCCUUCACAUCUCUGGACCAUAUCUGGAAAGUGUGGCUCUUGCUAUACGUCCCUCUUCUUCACAGCAGCGUAACCCUUCCGGUCGUGGGCACGGUCGUCCCAAAAUGCACUCAUUGUGGUGAAGAUGGCCAUUGGAAGACAACCUGUUUCCGUAUCAUCAGUUAUCCCACCGGUUGACGUUGCUUUCAUCAAACCCAUGCUAGCCAAUCCGCUCACUCCAACGCUACUCUACCCUCCAAUGAUGUUUUGGCUCUUGGUCUCAAUCCCGAACAGGAAUAGCAACUUCAGUCAACAGUAUCAUCUACUGCAAAUUUUGUUGGUAAUUCCACUGCUCUCUCUACUCACCUGAAUUCCAUUACUCGACCUUGGAUCAUUGACACAGGUGCCUCUGACCAUAUGUGUUCUUCACUCGAUGCCUUCACCACAAUUCAUCCUAUUACUCAUCCACGCUCAGUCACUCUCCCCAAUGGUGACUUAGUAGCUGUCACUCGUGUUGGUUCAGUUUCUUUAUCUUCACAUAUCACUCUUCAUCAUGUUCUCUAUGUUCCGAAUUUUCAUUACAAUCUUUUAUGUGUUUCACAACUCACUCAAUCGUUACAAUGCCUUGCCCUUUUUUCCCUUCCUUUUGUGUUUUUCAGGACAUCCAGACGAAGAAGCCGAUUGGAGCGGGUAAAGUCAGUCAUGGUCUUUAUUUCUUUACUCCACCAUCCAGUUUAGCCUUUGUGUCCACUUCACCUGCCCACUUAUGGCACCAACGUCUAGGCCAUCCGUCUCUUCAUACUCCAAAUAAGUCCUUAAAUAUUUUUCAUUCCGUACAAUCUUGUGAUGUUUGUACUCCAGGCAAGUUGUCACGUUCCAAGUUUCAUUCUCCUAUCAAUAAAAGUACAUUUGCUUUUAAUCGCAUAUUUUGUGAUAUAUGGGGAGGUUAUCCCACUGCUAUUUUAUCUGGUGCACAUUAUUUCUUAACAAUCAUCGAUGACCAUUCUCGCUACACUUGGACAUAUUUGAUGAAAUUAAAAUUAGAUACCUUCGCAUGUUUCCGCCAUUUCUUUGCUUAUGUCCAAACUCAAUUUAAUUGUACGAUCAAACAUGUACGCACUGAUAACGGCCAAGAGUUUUUGCCCUAUAAUCUCCAAACAUUUUUCAACAAUAAUGGCAUUCUCCAUGAACGUACUUGUGUCGAAACGCCUCAACAAAAUGGUGUUGUCGAACGCAAGCAUCGUCAUUUACUCAACGUUGCCCGCUGCCUUCGCUUCCAAGCCCACUUUUCCCUUAAAUUUUGGGGCAACUGUGUCCUCACCGCCACCUACUUGAUCAAUAGAACGUCUUCCGCUACCUUAAUGCACAAAACACCCUAUGAACUACUCCAUCACAUGACACCUACCUAUGAUCAUUUACGUGUCCUAGGUUGUCUAUGUUAUGCAUCUACCCUACGUCGUGAUCGUUACAAAUUCUCCCCUCGUGCUCCUCGGUGUCUUUAUUGGCUAUCCCUCCAAUCACCAUGGUUAUCUUCUCUACGACUUAGACACUGCCACUACAUUUAUCUCUCGUGACACCCAAUUUCAUGAACCCAUAUUUCUUUUCUCCUCCCCUACUUCAACACCCUCGUCCACCAUUGUCAUACCCACUAAUAUUCUUGACCUUUCUCACCCACAGUCAGCCGAACCUCCCUCCCAUACCACUACCGAACCUGCUGCCCCACUGGCCUCUCCUCCCGAGAUCCGUCACCACCACCUCGCCCCACUCGAAGUCAACGCCCUCCUCCUCACCUUCAUGAUUACAUAUGUCCUACCCUUUCACGUACAAAUGGCGUGACUUCAUCUUCCCUACGGCCUUCUUCAGGUUUGUCAUACUCCCUCCAUUCCUUCCUUAACUAUGAGCGUUUUUCUCAUAAACACCGCUCUUUGCUCUCCCAUAUUACUAACAUUGCAGAUCCUACCUCAUUCACUGAGGCUUCACGCCAUGCCCAUUGGCAACAAGCAAUGAACUCCGAAAUCAUAGCCUUAGAAUCUAAUGGCACUUGGUCCCUCACCUCCCUUCUUCUUGGCAAAUACCCUAUUGGUUGCAAAUGGAUUUACAAAACAAAAUUGAAAGCAAAUGGUACUAUUGAACGUUACAAAGCUCGCCUUGUGGCCAAGGGUUACACUCAAAUUGAGGGAUUGGACUAUCAUGACACCUUUGCUCUUGUCGCCAAACUUGUUACAGUCCGCUGCCUUUUGUCCAUCGCUGCGGCUAAAAAAUUGGUUCCUAUACCAACUUGAUGUGCACAAUGCUUUUCUUCAUGGAGAUCUCGACGAAGAAGUCUACAUGAAACCUCCUUCUGGAUAUUGUAAAAGGGGAAAAACUCGCGUCUGUCGACUACACAAAUCUAUCUAUGGCCUUAAACAAGCCUCCCGCAAUUGGUUUUCUAAGCUUUCUUCAGUUUUGCAAGCUGCUGAUUUCAGUCCAUCCAUGGCGAACCACUCAUUAUUCACUCUUUCACGUGGUUCAUCUUUUGCAGCACUCCUUGUCUAUGUAGAUGAUAUUCUUUUAGCCGGUGAUGACGACAACUUACUCAUUGAUGUCAAGACUUUUCUUUCUAGCAAAGUCAAAUUCAAAUAUCUUGGUCCACUCAAGUAUUUUUUGGGAAUUGAAGUCGCUCGCUCACCUCGUGGUAUUUUUAUCAAUCAUGCAAGUACACCCUGGACAUUUUAUCUGAAAGUGGUUAUCUCGGCUCCAAACCCCUUACCUUGCCCAUGUAAUAGAAUCACAAACUUCAAGUUGAUGUAGGUGACCUUUUAACUGAUGCUAGCCUUUAUCGUCGAUUGAUCGGCCAUUUACUUUAUCUCAUAGUCACAAGACCUGAUAUUACAUAUGCCGUCAACAUUUUGAGUCAAUUUAUGCACUGCCCAAGAUAGCCCCAUCUUGACGCUGCCAUUUGAGUUCUUCGCUUCCUCAAAAACAAUCCAGGAUAAGGACUCCUAUUCACAGCUACCAAUGACUUUCAGGUUCGUGCUUAUGCUAAUUCAGAUCGGGCUAGCUGUCACACUAACCAUCUCUAGAUCUUCUGUUGAAGCCGAAUAGCGUGCCAUGGCCAACGUCACUUGUGAACUUAUGUGGCUUCGUACGUUACUUCUUGAUUUGCACAUCCCACAUCCCCAACCGAUGCUCCUAUAUUGUGACAAUCAGGCUGCUAUACAUAUUGCUCGCAAUCCUGUCUUCCAUGAACGCACAAAGCACAUAGACAUUGAUUGUCACGUUGUUCGUGAACAACUCAAGUCUGGCCUCAUCACCACCUCUCAUGUUUCUAGCUCAGCUCAACUUGCGGACAUCCUCACCAAAGCACUUGGCAUUGAUCUCUUCACACAGAUCAUCUUCAAGUUGGGCAUUUACAAUCCCCAUGCUCCGACUUGAGGGGGCGUGUCAAAGAUCCUUGUAUUUACUGUUAAACAAUGAGAUAUAUAUUUACCUUCCUUAAGACAUCUCAUUUGUAUAGGAAAUUGCACACAAUCAAGCUACAUACAGGAAACUGCACAUAAUCAGGAUGAUUACCUUAGACAUAGGAAAUAGCAAAUAAUCAGGCUACAUAUUUUUCUUUCCAUAGAAUCUGGCCAUUAUGCUUGUAUAAAUACGGUGGCUGUACAUUACUGAAGAAAUGAAUAAAAUCAAAUUUUCUAUCUCUUUACACUAAGUUCUCAGUUGUACCAAAAUAUCAUUUGUACCAAAAGAAGAAAAAAAGAAGUAUUUUUUAUUUACAGUAUGGUGAAUUGAUGGGACAAGGUGAAAUCAAUCUGAAAUAUUGGACGUUUGGUUCUUAGUUGUAAUAACAAUGUCAU